rnacentral:rRNA from 1 species
GCGUUAAUCGGAAUUACUGGGCGUAAAGCGUACGCAGGCGGUUUGUUAAGCGAGAUGUGAAAGCCCCGGGCUCAACCUGGGAACUGCAUUUCGAACUGACAAACUAGAGUUUUGUAGAGGGUGGUAGAAUUUCAGGUGUAGCGGUGAAAUGCGUAGAGAUCUGAAGGAAUACCAGUGGCGAAGGCGGCCACCUGGACAAUAACUGACGCUCAUGUACGAAAGCGUGGGGAGCAAACGGGAUUAGAUACCCCGGUAGUCCACGCCGUAAACGAUGUCAACUAGCCCACUGGUGCCUUGAGCACUGGGUGGCGCAGCUAACGCAUUAAGUUGACCGCCUGGGGAGUACGGCCGCAAGGUUA